rnacentral:rRNA from 1 species
UCAAAUGAAUUGACGGGGGCCCGCACAAGCGAGGACAUGUGGUUUAAUUCGAUGAUACGCGAGGAACCUUACCUGGGCUUAAAUGGGAGUGACAGCUGUCGAAAGAUGGUUUUCUUCGGACACUCUUCAAGGUGCUGCAUGGUUGUCGUCAGCUCGUGCCGUGAGGUGUCGGGUUAAGUCCCAUAACGAGCGCAACCCUUACCGUUAGUUACCAUCAGGUUAAGCUGGGGACUCUAGCGGGACUGCCACCGUAAGGUGAGAGGAAGGUGGGGAUGACGUCAAAUCAGCACGGCCCUUAUGUCCAGGGCUACACACGUGUUACAAUGGCCAGUACAAAGGGCAGCUACCGGGUGACCGGAUGCUAAUCUCCAAAGCUGGUCUCAGUUCGGAUCGAAGUCUGCAACCCGACUUCGUGAAGCUGGAUUCGCUAGUAAUCGCGCAUCAGCCAUGGCGCGGUGAAUACGUUCCCGGGCCUU